UACAGAGGUCUCGAGCGUUGUUCGGAUUCAUUGGGCGUAAAGGGUGCGUAGGUGGCGCUGUAAGUCGGGUGUGAAAUUUCGGAGCUUAACUCCGAAACUGCAUUCGAUACUGCGGUGCUUGAGGACUGGAGAGGAGACUGGAAUUCAUGGUGUAGCAGUGAAAUGCGUAGAGAUCAUGAGGAAGACCAGUGGCGAAGGCGGGUCUCUGGACAGUUCCUGACACUGAGACACGAAGGCCAGGGGAGCAAACGGG
rnacentral:rRNA from 1 species